AAAAGUGAAAGUUUUGAUUCUCUCACUCACACUAUAAUGAAUCAUAGCUUCCAACUUCAAGUUCAAGCCAUCAUCGCCACCUCUUUUCGCCAACGCCACUUCUCCUUUUCUUCCCGUAACACUGCCUCAAGGGUAUCAUUUUCUAGUUUUUGUUGCGGGAGAAAUUUAGAAAUGGAGGAAGUGAAGGUUGCUUCGGACUUCAUGGUGGGUGACCCUGCGUUGUUGGAGAAGAAAAUUGAUGCAAUUCGUUUGGGUGGUCCCCAGAAGCUUCAGGUGAUUGCUGAUUUUGAUGCCACGUUAACUAAGUUUGUGGUUAAUGGAAAUCGUGGUCAAACCAGUCAUGGCCUUUUGCAGCAGGGUAAUCCAGAAUAUGAUGCCAAAAGGCAGCAGUUAUAUGAAUAUUACCAUCCUUUAGAAUUUUCACCGACUAUUGGACUUGAAGAGAAAACGAAGCUCAUGGAAGAGUGGUGGGGAAAAACACAUGCUCUACUUGUUGAGGGAGGACUUACAUAUGAAUCAAUAAGGCAAUCUGUUGCUAAUGCUAACAUAGCUUUCAGGGAAGGUGUCUCUGAACUUUUUGAGUUUCUGGAGGAAAGAGACAUUCCUGUGUUAAUAUUCUCCGCAGGGCUCGCUGAUACCAUUGAAGAGGUCCUAAGGCAGAAACUUCACAGAUCCUUCAAGAAUGUGAGGAUAGUAUCCAACAGAAUGGUAUUUGAUGACAAUGGCAGCCUUGUAUCAUUUAAAGGAAAAUUGAUUCAUAGCUUAAAUAAAAAUGAGCACGCUCUUGAUAUGGCAGCACCUGUACAUGAGAGGUUUGGUGAUAUGGAUGGUCCUACUGAUGACAAUGCCUCAUUGAAGAAGAGAACCAAUGUUCUCCUUCUUGGCGAUCACCUUGGAGACUUGGGAAUGUCUGAUGGUUUGAAUUAUGAGACUCGAAUAUCCAUGGGAUUUCUGAACCACAACAUUGAGAACUCACUCAGCUGCUAUCGAGAAGCUUUUGAUGUUGUUUUUAUGAAUGAUGCAGCCAUGUGGGGAGUUAUCAAAUUGGUCUCUCGAAUGUGUUCAAGUGGUGCUUGAUUAUUUCCAGUAAUGAGAAAGAAGAAAAAAAGAGAACACGUUGCAAAGAAAAGUUAUCCGAAAAGCAUAUUUCAAUAAGCAUUUUAUGUGUUCGUUUUGAAAGCAAGAUUCUGAAAAUCCAAGGGUAGACACCAGAGACAGGUUGUUCAUGCAGAGCUGGAAAUUGGAGUGAGUGGAGUCUCAAAAACUCUUUCCACCUUCCAACAAACUACUACUAGACAAUCGUAAUUAUUAUAUGCAAAAUGACACAAAAACUAAAACUAAUGUUGUAAUGUCUUUCUUCCGCAAUGUGUGUUUCUAUGCUGAAACUUAUGUUUUUGUUAAC